rnacentral:lncRNA from 1 species
UGCUAAGCACAUCAAUAACCUAUUUGGGGGAGUCAGUACUCACAUGUGAGAGGUUAGAAUCAGUGUUCUGCAGGGCUGUGAGUCUAGGUCCGCGGAUAGGUUGUCACAUAAAAAUCGAUUUUUUUUGUGACAACCUAUCCCGUGGACCCCACCGAUCCCAUGGACCUCAGGUUCACAGUCCUGCAGAGCACCGACCCUAACUCCUCAUAUGUGAGCCCUCACAGAUUCCCCCAAUAGAUUAUUUUGAUGCGCUUGGCGUUACUCGAGCCCAAGACCUCACCCUUUAAUAACUUUCCCACAGGACAAGAUGUCACCAAUUGAUCUGCACCUCAAUUGGUGACAGCUUGUCCUGUGUGAGAGUUGUUAAAAGGUGAGGUCUUGGGUUCGAGUAACGCCAAACGCAUCAAUAACCUACAUGGGGAAGUUAGUGAAGACUCAUCUGUGAGGGAUUAGGUCGGUGCUCUACAGAACUGUGAGCCGGGGAUCC